CUACGGGUUGCACCAGUGAGGAAUAUUGCACAAUGGGGGGAACCAUGAUGCAGCAACGCCGCGUGGAGGAUGACGCAUUUCGGUGUGUAAACUCCUUUUAUAUGUCAAGAAAAUGACGGUAGCAUAUGAAUAAGCGCCGGCUAACUCCGUGCCAGCAGCCGCGGUAAUACGGAGGGAGCAAGCGUUACUCGGAAUCACUGGGCGUAAAGGACGCGUAGGCGGGUUGAAAAGUCAGGUGUGAAAGCCUACAGCUUAACUGUAGAACUGCACUUGAAACUCUCAAUCUAGAGUAUGGGAGGGGCAGAUGGAAUUAGUGGUGUAGGGGUAAAAUCCGUAGAUAUCACUAGGAAUACCUAAAGCGAAGGCGAUCUGCUGGAACAUUACUGACGCUAAGGCGUGAAAGCGUGGGGAGCAAACAGGAUUAGAUACCCCCGUAGUC
rnacentral:rRNA from 1 species